rnacentral:rRNA from 1 species
CGGCAGCGCGGGCUUCGGCCUGGCGGCGAGUGGCGAACGGGUGAGUAAUACAUCGGAACGUGCCCUGUCGUGGGGGAUAACUAGUCGAAAGAUUAGCUAAUACCGCAUACGACCUGAGGGUGAAAGCGGGGGACCGGUAACGGCCUCGCGCGAUAGGAGCGGCCGAUGUCUGAUUAUCUUUUUGGGGGGGUAAAGGCCUACCAGGGCGAAUAUCAAUAUCUGGUCUGAGAGGAAUAAGACCCACUCUGGGACUGACACACGGCCCACACUCCUACGAGAGGCAGCAGUGGGGAAUAUUGCACAAUGGGCGCAACUCUGAUCCAGCAUGCCGCGUGUGUGAAGAAGGCCUUCGGGUUGUAAAGCACUUUUGUCCGGAAAGAAAUGGCUCUGGCUAAUACCCGGGGUCGAUGACGGUACCGGAAGAAUAAGCACCGGCUAACUACGUGCCAGCAGCCGCGGUAAUACGUAGGGUGCGAGCGUUAAUCGGAAUUACUGGGCGUAAAGCGUGCGCAGGCGGUUUGAUAAGACAGGCGUGAAAUCCCCGGGCUCAACCUGGGAAUGGCGCUUGUGACUGUCAGGCUAGAGUGCGUCAGAGGGGGGUAGAAUUCCACGUGUAGCAGUGAAAUGCGUAGAGAUGUGGAGGAAUACCGAUGGCGAAGGCAGCCCCCUGGGACGUGACUGAAGCUCAUGCACGAAAGCGUGGGGAGCAAACAGGAUUAGAUACCCUGGUAGUCCACGCCCUAAACGAUGUCAACUAGUUGUUGGGGAUUCAUUUCUUCAGUAACGUAGCUAACGCGUGAAGUUGACCGCCUGGGGAGUACGGUCGCAAGAUUAAAACUCAAAGGAAUUGACGGGGACCCGCACAAGCGGUGGAUGAUGUGGAUUAAUUCGAUGCAACGCGAAAAACCUUACCUACCCUUGACAUGCCACUAACGAAGCAGAGAUGCAUUAGGUGCCCGAAAGGGAAAGUGGACACAGGUGCUGCAUGGCUGUCGUCAGCUCGUGUCGUGAGAUGUUGGGUUAAGUCCCGCAACGAGCGCAACCCUUGUCUCUAGUUGCUACGCAAGAGCACUCUAGAGAGACUGCCGGUGACAAACCGGAGGAAGGUGGGGAUGACGUCAAGUCCUCAUGGCCCUUAUGGGUAGGGCUUCACACGUCAUACAAUGGUGCGUACAGAGGGUUGCCAACCCGCGAGGGGGAGCUAAUCCCAGAAAACGCAUCGUAGUCCGGAUCGUAGUCUGCAACUCGACUACGUGAAGCUGGAAUCGCUAGUAAUCGCGGAUCAGCAUGCCGCGAUGAAUACGUUCCCGGGUCUUGUACACACCGCCCGUCACACCAUGGGAGUGGGUUUUGCCAGAGUAGUUAGCCUA